UCCACAUCCUUCUUGAAGCAUGGGUCCCAAGACUGAGCAUAGUGCUCCAGGUGAAGCUUCAUCAAUGCUGAAUAGACUGGAAGAAUCACUACCCUUGAUUUGCAAGUGACAUUCCUGUUAAUACAAGCCAGUAUGCUGUUGACUUUUUUUGCAACAACAGCACACUGUUGACUCAUGUUCAGUUUCUGGUUCACGGUAACCUCCAGGUCCUUCUCUGCAGUACUGCAGCCUAGCCAGUCAUUCCCCAAUCUGUAUUUGUGAAUGCAAUUAUUCUAUCCACUGCAGGAUGUUGUUUUUGUUGAAUCUCAUCUCAUUGAUUGCAGACCAUUUCUCCAGUCUAUCCCAGCAAUUCUAGAUUUAACUCUGCCUUUUGGAGUGUCUGCAAUUCCACCUAAUUUGGUGUCAGUUGCAAAUUUGCUAAGUGUACACUUAAUCCCAUCAUCCAAAUUAUUAAUAAAGAUUUUGAAAAACAGCCCCAGGACAGACCACUGAGGAACCCCAUUUGAUACGUCCUCCAAGCUAGACAUUAAGCCACUGAGGAAUACUUGCUGGGCGUGUUUAUAUGUGUGCUUAACUGUGCAGUAGACUAAUGUGCUGUGUAGUAAAGCAUCACUGUGUACAUUUGCACAACAAUUAGACUGGUAUAGACUAAUUUUCUGUACCAUCACACACAAGUACUAUCCGAGGGCAGAGUAAAUUACUGUGCUUAUAGGCACGUGCAGAUGGUGAUGUCUAGAUUAGUUUACUCUGGCUCAAAUUGUGCCGGCGUUUAUUCAGUCACAUUAACUGCGUGUGUAGACAUGCAAACUGAGUAUGAUGAUCCACCUUACAGUACUUUUGUCUAGUCUGUAUUUCCUUAGCUUGUUAAUGAGACUGUCAUGAGAGGUGGUGUCAAAAGUCAAGGUCCACUGCUCUUUGCUUUCUUUGGCUGAGAACUAGUGCAGUAGUUCUCAACCUUUUCAGUUAGGGCAUCCCUCCACAACCUUCUGGAUGUGGUGGUUACCUCAGUUGAGAACAACUGUGGUACUCAAUUUAGCCCAGGGUUCUUAGCCACGUGUUGCUGUUGCCUCCAGGUAAAACUGUUCUGGUGCAUAGUUAGACUGGGAAGGGUUGUUGUUGUUGUUGGUGGUGUGUGUGGGUGUGUGUGUAUGCUCCUGCCUCACUAGGGUUCUCUGAUAAUCCUAAAGCAGACAGAAGUGCUGGCUCAUACUGUAGCCCUGCCCAGUCUGACUAUACCAGACACACAGGACAGUUAUACCUAGAGGCAACAGCAACACCUGGUCAAGAAUCACUGGGCUAAAUUGAGUGCAACAUCUCCUGGAAACAGAUGUACAAGGCAGGUGGAACUGUCCCGUGUGCCUCUGUUUUUGGGAGAAGUAUGGAAGGGGCCAGACCUAGAAGGGCUAUAGCAUGAGCAGGCUUUGCAGGAUUUGAUUUCUGCUGAUAAACAUUGAUAAAUGGCAAGCUCAUCUCACACUCAGACUGAUGGAAAAUAUUUCCAUCAGUAAUAAUCAAAAUUUAUAGAAAGGGGACUGUAGCAGGGAACCCUUUACCCUGUUAUUGGACCCUGGAGAAAGAUGGAGGGACAGAGGGGUUAAACAGGAAAACAGUGGGCAGCCUAAUAACUCAUCAGUUAAGCAAUUAGCUGCUUGUUCUGGCCUAAUGACUAAUCAGUUAAGCAAUUAGCUGCUCCUUCACAGGUGCUGGAAGUGGGCUGGAGGGAGAGAACAGGCUACUUAAACAAACCCUUACCCAGAGCUCAGUGGAAGGCUGAGGCUAGUGGUGGCAGCCUCUGCCCCUGUUCCCAGAGCUCUGGGAGUGCUGCUGCCACCUUUUUUUUGUCUAUGCCCACCUGGCUCUUUCCUGAGGAAUGAACAGAAUGAUUUAAAGCAGGGACUUGGCACCCCUGUGGGAUGAAAUCCAACUACUGAUGACAGUUAUAUGGUUGAGCACACAAUGGAACAGAUGAAGAGAUACAGUUUUGGUUCCUACUGCCCACAAAAGGUGGAGGAGAGUGUGAAGAACCAAGGGUAAUAAAUAAAACACUUACAGCAGGAAUGGGGUCCGAGGAAGACAAGGAUGGGAGAUUCCGGAGCAGCUGUUCAGUGUGGAUUGGAUGCCCUGUGGCAAAGAGGGGCAGGGCUGGAGAGAGACGGACGCCAGAAGAGGGUGAGGAGUGGUAAACUCACAAAGGAAUGUGGGAAAGAAGACCCCAGGAGAGGAUGCUCCCGGAGAGAGAAAGAGAUGAACAGAGCUAAUUCAGCAGGGAAUUGCUGAUGAGAAAUCUUAAAGAAGGUAAUUCCUGGAAAGGAGAAAAAGGAGUGGAGGAACCCUUCUCUCACUUAGAAGAGACUGUGACUGGGAUUUAAUUGUUGUUUACUCAUGGGGCUUUGUUGCGAGCCAAUUGAACUCAAAAAAAAAAGAAAAGAAAAGAAAUUGUGAGAAGAUGCUACAAGUCCUUGGGAAGAGGGACUACACCCAGAGGAGAAAUAAAGGAAUAAAACCCUGGGUAAUAUAAACCAGACUGACUAAAAAUUGUUAGAUAAGUAGUAAUGUGAUUAAAGAAAAAUCAUAUCCAAGUUGGAUGCUGUUUAAGUUGAUAGUGUUAAUUGUUUGCUGUAAACAAACAACAAAGGGAUGAUGGAUGUAAAUUAGAGUACGGAUAAAUAAAGAACACUGUUAAUCUAAAUGAAGUAAGACU